UCCAGCACAGAACAGGUUUUCAUCCGCCUCCUGGAGAGACUCAAAAGGACAUGCUGAAAGAUGAACAGAGUGGUUAAUUACAACUAAAUCUCAUGAACCAGUAAAUAGCUAAUUCCA
rnacentral:lncRNA from 1 species